CAUAAACAUACAUUAUAAACAAUGACGUAACUCGCUGAAAUAUAUUGCAACACAGAAGUAUUUGAAACGCUUAUUUAUUAAUAUUUAAAUCUUUCACACAUGUAAAUUCUUAAUAAUAAAAACCUCAAGAUAUAGAAACUUUUCUGGAUCAUUGCCUACCUUCUUUUGUUCCUUUUUUCCUCCCAAGAGUGCUAAAUUUAUCCCAAAAGCUUUCUUCUUUUUCGCCAGAUUUAAUUGUGCUAUUUGCAUGUGGAGAUUUUGGACGAUUUAACGUGGCCAUUUCGAAAUUUCUUCUUCAAAA